UACAGAGACUGCAAGCGUUUAAUCGGAAUUACUGGGCGUAAAGCGUGCGCAGGCGGUGAUGUAAGACAGGUGUGAAAUCCCCGGGCUUAACCUGGGAACUGCAUUUGUGACUGCAUCGCUGGAGUGCGGCAGAGGGGAGAUGGAAUUCCGCGUGUGAGACAGUGAAAUGACGUGAGAUAUGUCGGGAGGAACGAACCGGAAUGG
rnacentral:rRNA from 1 species